CCAGAGACAAGUAGAGAAGAAAGACCAGGUGUCAGGGUCGCCAAGAAAGAUGUGACUCCCACACAGGCACUGGAUUGAACAACACUUUACUCACAUAGAAAAGAAACAGAGCAAGCUGAACAGACAGAAGCACACACAGGGGGAAG